rnacentral:rRNA from 1 species
AUUGAACGCUGGCGGCAGGCCUAACACAUGCAAGUCGAACGAGUGGCGGACGGGUGAGUAAUGUCUGGGAAACUGCCUGAUGGAGGGGGAUCACUACUGGAAACGGUAGCUACUACCGCAUACCAUCAGAUGUGCCCAGCUGGGAUUAGCUUGGUGGUGGGGUAACGGCUCACAAAGGCGACGAUCCCUAGCUGGUCUGAGAGGAUGAACAGCCACACGGGAACUGGUACACGCUCCCGACUCCUACGGAAGGCAGCAGUGGGGAAUAUUGCACAAUGGGCGCAAGCCUGAUGCAGCCAUGCCGCGUGUAUGAAGAAGGCCUUCGGGUUGUAAAGUACUUUCAGCGGGGAGGCGUUACCCGCAGAAGAAGCACCGGCUAACUCCGUGCCAGCAGCCGCGGUAAUUC